AAAAUGCUCAACAUUUUAAUUCCACUCUGUCAAGUUAGAUGAUAAUUCCGUCUGGCACUGUGACACUUGCUGGCAGCAUAAUAGGUUGUUACGUUUUCUCCGAGACCACAGAUGAGGUCGCACAUUGUUAUGAGCCGAUCACGACUUUGCUGAACAUGGUGGAAAGAAGUUACCAUAUUCACAUGCUGAGGACCGAGGCCUGCGAUGACCUGUUUUUCAAGCUCGUGUCACUGUCGAGCACGUAUCCUUCGGAAGCGGAAACAAAACAAUACCGAGAUACACGUGCCGGAUCACAUUGGACCGAUCAGUGGUUAAAGUCAAUACGUUCAUAUCCCGCCCGUUAUUUCCUGCUGUUAUUAUAUUAGUUUCAGAGGAAUUGAUCUCAAGGCUUAAGACCUUCGGAUUUCAUUGCAAAUACUUAAAAGCCAUCGUCAAUAGAACCUUGUAAAAUUCAGUUUAAAUAAUGUAAUCGCUCGUAAAUUGCUUCAUAAAUGUAAAAGUCUUGAUAAUUCCUGAAACGAUCUGGUUAGCGAUAUACACUGUAUGCCCGUUAUAUUGAGACACCUCUGUUAGCAUAAAGUAAUGCUAUACGAUCA